ensembl:lncRNA
GGCCUACCUGGUUAAAUAAAGGUGUUCUCAACUGGCCUACCUGGUUAAAUAAAGGUGUUCUCAACUGGCCUCCCUGGUUAAAUAAAGGUGUUCUCAACUGGCCUACCUGGUUAAAUAAAGGUGUUCUCAACUGGCCGACCUGGUUAAAUAAAGGUGUUCUCAACUGGCCUACCUGGUUAAAUAAAGGUGUUCUCAACUGGCCGACCUGGUUAAAUAAAGGUGUUCUCAACUAGCCUACCUGGUUAAAUAAAGGUGUUCUCAACUGGCCUACCUGGUUAAAUAAAGGUGUUCUCAACUGGCCUACCUGGUUAAAUAAAGGUGUUCUCAACUGGCCUACCUG